AACCGAGAUUCCCCCAGUAGCGGCGAGCGAACGGGGAGGAGCCCAGAGCCUGAAUCAGUGUGUGUGUUAGUGGAAGCAUCUGGAAAGGCGCGCGAUACAGGGUGACAGCCCCGUACACAAAAAUGCACAUGCUGUGAGCUCGAUGAGUAGGGCGGGACACGUGGUAUCCUGUCUGAAUAUGGGGGGACCAUCCUCCAAGGCUAAAUACUCCUGACUGACCGAUAGUGAACCAGUACCGUGAGGGAAAGGCGAAAAGAACCCCGGCGAGGGGAGUGAAAAAGAACCUGAAACCGUGUACGUACAAGCAGUGGGAGCCUCUUAAUGGGGUGACUGCGUACCUUUUGUAUAAUGGGUCAGCGACUUAUAUUCUGUAGCAAGGUUAACCGAAUAGGGGAGCCGAAGGGAAACCGAGUCUUAACUGGGCGUUAAGUUGCAGGGUAUAGACCCGAAACCCGGUGAUCUAGCCAUGGGCAGGUUGAAGGUUGGGUAACACUAACUGGAGGACCGAACCGACUAAUGUUGAAAAAUUAGCGGAUGACUUGUGGCUGGGGGUGAAAGGCCAAUCAAACCGGGAGAUAGCUGGUUCUCCCCGAAAGCU
rnacentral:rRNA from 1 species